rnacentral:tRNA from 1 species
GCCCCCGUAGCUCAGUGGACAGAGCAACUGCCUUCUAAGUAGUUGGUCGGGUGUUCGAAUCACCCCGGGGGUACCA